AUGGCGCGCGUCGCCGCCUCUAGGCUCGCCACCGUCGUGACCUCCUCGAAGUCGAAGCUCGAGGUGUUCUCCCGCCAUCUCCCCGCCGCCUCGUCGGCGUGGGGCACCCCGUCGCGGCUUCCCAAUCCAGCGAGGGAGAGAAGGAGCCCGAGUUGGUGGUGCCCGAGCAGGUCGUUCCAUGCCACAGCGAGGGUGAAUGCAAGGGAUUACUAUGAUGUGCUCGGAGUGAGCUCGGAUGCUUCUGCAUCGGACAUAAAGAAGGCAUAUUAUGGGCUUGCAAAGAAGUUCCACCCCGAUACUAAUAAAGAUGAUUCUGGCGCAGAAAAGAAAUUCCAAGAAGUUAACCGGGCCUAUGAGGUUUUGAAGGAUGAUGAUAAGCGCGAAACUUAUGAUCAGCUUGGAGUUGAAGCUUAUGAGCGCCUAGCAUCAGGGGGUGGCCCAGAUGGUUCCCCUGAUAGCGGUGGGGACUUUGCUGGUGAUAAUCCAUUUAGUGAUAUUUUUACCGAUAUCUUUGACAGAGGAGGCCAAGAUGUCCAGAUUCCUGUUGAAUUGUCAUUCAUGGAAGCUGUCCAAGGAUGCAGAAAAACUAUUACAUAUGAGGCUGAUGUUCUCUGUGGGACCUGCAAUGGAAGUGGCGUUCCACCUGGCACUAUACCUCAAACAUGUAAAGCUUGUAGAGGUGCUGGUGUGACAUUCAUCCAGAGGGGUAUGUUGAGUUUUGAAUCUACUUGUUCUCGGUGCGGUGGAAGCGGAAAAAUUGUGAAGAAUUUUUGCAAGACAUGUAAGGGCCAUCAGCUUGUCAAGGGGAAAAAAUCAGUCAAGCUUGACAUAAUGGCUGGAAUUGAUGACAAUGAGGCUAUAAAGGUUCGUGGUCAGGGUGGUGCAGAUGCGGAGCGCAAUAAACCUGGUGACCUUCUUUUGACUAUCAAGGUCAGAGAGGAUCCUAUCUUCCGUAGAGAAGGCAACCAUGUGCAUGUUGAUGCUGUUCUAAGCAUGGCCCAGGCUGUGCUAGGUGGGACUGUUACAAUACCUACCCUCACCGGAAAUGUUUCAGUCAAGGUUCGCCAAGGUACCCAACCAGGAGAGAAGGUUGUCCUACGGGGCAAAGGAAUAAAGGCGAAGAAUUCGUCAUCGUACGGGAACCAUUAUGUUCACUUCAACAUCAGAGUCCCAACGGAGCUGACACCACGGCAACGGGAGCUGAUGGAGGAGUUUGAUAAAGAGGAGAGCAACGACGUGGCGAGAGUUGCGGCUGCAUCUGGAUGA
rnacentral:rRNA from 1 species